rnacentral:tRNA from 1 species
GGAGAGCACUUGCCUUGCAAGCAAGGGGUCAGGAGUUCGACUCUCCUCAUCUCCACCA